UAACUAUAAACUAUGCCGACUAGGGAUCGGACGAUGUUAUUCUUUGACGCGUUCGGCACCUUUCGAGAAAUCAAAGUGCUUGGGCUCCAGGGGGAGUAUGGUCGCAAGGCUGAAACUUAAAGAAAUUGACGGAAGGGCACCACCAGGGGUGGAACCUGCGGCUUAAUUUGACUCAACACGGGGAAACUCACCAGGUCCAGACACAGUGAGGAUUGACAGAUUGAGAGCUCUUUCUUGAUUCUGUGGGUGGUGGUGCAUGGCCGUUCUUAGUUGGUGGAGUGAUUUGUCUGCUUAAUUGCGAUAACGAACGAGCCCUUAACCUGCUAAAUAGCCCGUACUGCUUUGGCAGUUCGCCGGCUUCUUAGAGGGACUAUCGGCUCAAGCCGAUGGAAGUUUGAGGCAAUAACAGGUCUGUGAUGCCCUUAGAUGUCCUGGGCCGCACGCGCGUUACACUGACAGAGCCAGCGAGUAUUUCCUUGACCGGAAGGUCCGGGUAAUC
rnacentral:rRNA from 1 species